rnacentral:rRNA from 1 species
GAUCCGGYGCUUGCWSSGGGGAUUAGUGGCGAACGGGUGAGUAACACGUGAGUAACCUGCCCUUGACUCUGGGAUAAGCCUGGGAAACUGGGUCUAAUACCGGAUAUGACCUUCCAUCGCAUGGUGGUUGGUGGAAAGCUUUUGUGGUUUUGGAUGGACUCGCGGCCUAUCAGCUUGUUGGUGGGGUAAUGGCCUACCAAGGCGACKACGGGUAGCCGGCCUGAGAGGGUGACCGGCCACACUGGGACUGAKACACGGCCCAKACUCCUACGGGAGGCAGCAGUGGGGAAUAUUGCACAAUGGGCGCAAGCCUGAUGCAGCGACGCCGCGUGAGGGAUGACGGCCUUCGGGUUGUAAACCUCUUUCAGUASGGAAGAAGCCGUAAGGUGACGGUACCUGCAGAAGAAGCGCCGGCUAACUACGUGCCAGCAGCCGCGGUAAUACGUAGGGCGCAWGCGUUAUCCGGAAUUAUUGGGCGUAAAGAGCUCGUAGGCGGUUUGUCGCGUCUGCCGUGAAAGUCCGGGGCUCAACUCCGGAUCUGCGGUGGGUACGGKCAGACUAKAGUGAUGUAGGGGAGACUGGAAUUCCUGGUGUAGCGGUGAAAUGCRCAGAUAUCAGGAGGAACACCGAUGGYGAAGGCAKGUCUCUGGGCAUUAACUGACGCUGAGGAGCGAAAGCAUGGGGAGCGAACAGGAUUAGAUACCCUGGUAGUCCAUGCCGUAAACGUUGGGCACUAGGUGUGGGGGACAUUCCACGUUUUCCGCGCMGUAGCUAACGCAUUAAGUGCCCCGCCUGGGGAGUACGGCCGCAAGGCUAAAACUCAAAGGAAUUGACGGGGGCCCGCACAAGCGGCGGAGCAUGCGGAUUAAUUCGAUGCAACGCGAAGAACCUUACCAAGGCUUGACAUGAACCGGUAACGCCUGGAAACAGGUGCCCCGCUUGCGGUCGGUUUACAGGUGGUGCAUGGUUGUCGUCAGCUCGUGUCGUGAGAUGUUGGGUUAAGUCCCGCAACGAGCGCAACCCUCGUUYUAUGUUGCCAGCACGUGAUGGUGGGGACUCAUAGGAGACUSCCGGGGUCAACUCGGAGGAAGGUGGGGACGACGUCAAAUCAUCAUGCCCCUUAUGUCUUGGSCUUCACGCAUGCUACAAUGGCCGGUACAAAGGGUUGCGAUMCUGUGAGGUGGAGCUAAUCCCAAAAAKCCGGUCUCAGUUCGGAUUGGGGUCUGCAACUCGACCCCAUGAAGUCGGAGUCGCUAGUA